CUGAGUUCAUGCCCUUACGGGUAGAUCUCCACACCCUUGAAUAUCUAAACCUUUGUUGCUAUUGGCGGGCCGCUUCGGCUACCGGGCUCCGGCUGGUGAGUGCCCGCCAGAGAACCUUAAACUCUGAAUUACAGUGUCGUCUGAGUACUAUAAAAUAGUUAA
rnacentral:misc_RNA from 1 species